rnacentral:rRNA from 1 species
GACGAACGCUGGCGGCGCGCUUAACACAUGCAAGUCGAACGGAAAGGCCUGCUUUCCCUUGUGGUUUGCGGGUACUCGAGUGGCGAACGGGUGAGUAACACGUGAGUGAUCUGCCCCCAACUUGGGUAUAAGCCCGGGAAACUGGGUCUAAUUCCCGAUAGGACUGCAGGGUGGUGCCUGUGGUGGAAAACGAUCUUCUAGUGGUUGGGGAUGAGCUCGCGGCCUAUCAGCUUGUUGGUGGGGUAAUGGCCUACCAAGGCGGCGACGGGUAGCCGGCCGGGGAGGGUGGACGGCGACAUUGAGACAGGGAUACGGCCCAGACGCGUACGAGAGGCAGCAGUGGGGAAGAUAGGAGAGUAGGCGGAAGCCUGAAGCAGCGACGCCGCGUGGAGGAUGACGGCCUUCGGGUUGUAAACUCCUUUCGACCGCGAGGAAGCCACCUGGUUGUGAGGGUGGUGACGGUAGUGGUAGAAGAAGCACCGGCUAACUACGUG